rnacentral:lncRNA from 1 species
AUAUUUUAAAUUGAAGAUCGAAUUCAAUCAUUGUAUUCAUAUAAGGUCAAGGAGUGUAGUUGUAAAAAAUCAUUAAAAUCGGAGUUAAAUUAACCGUUAAAUCGUGAUUUUUCGUUUAUAACCGUCGAAAAGUUUUGUCCCGUUACUUGCUCUCUUAAUGGUUUUUUUUUGCAAUUUUUGGCGUAUGCGAUCUCGAAAUAUAUAAAAACAUGUUUGACAGUUGGAUCAUUGAAACUAGUUUCGUAGAAUGAGUAUCCCAUCAAAACAAUAGAUUCACUAAUACUUAAGAGUUUAUUCAUGCUUUUAUUAAGUAUAACAUAAGAUUUUGUGGUAUCCACUAGUGUAAAUAUUUUAAAUUGAAGAUCGAAUUCAAUCAUUGUAUUCAUAUAGGGUCAAGGAGUGUAGUUGUAAAAAAUCAUCAAAAUCGGAGUUAAAAUGACCGCUACAUCGUGAUUUUUUGUUUAUAACCAUCGAAAUGUUUUGUCCCGUUACUUAAUCUCUUAAUGUUUGUUUUUUGCAAUUUUUGGCGUAUGCGAUCUCGAAGUAUAUAUAAACAU